UACGGAGGGGGCAAGCGUUGUUCGGAAUCAUUGGGCGUAAAGGGCGCGUAGGUGGUCUUGUGUGUCUAUCGUGAAAGCGUACGGCUCAACCGUAUUUAGUCGGUAGAAACUGCAGGACUUGAGGCUGGGAGGGGCUGGUGGAAUUCCCUGUGUAGCGGUGAAAUGCGUAGAGAUGGGGGAGAACACUCGUGGCGAAGGCGGCCAGCUGGACCAGUUCUGACACUGAGGCGCGAUAGCGUGGGGAGCAAACAGG
rnacentral:rRNA from 1 species